rnacentral:rRNA from 1 species
UGGGGAAUAUUGGCAAUGGGCGCAAGCCUGAUCCAGCCAUGCCGCGUGAACGAUGAAGGCCUUAGGGUUGUAAAGUUCUUUUGUCAGGGAAGAUAAUGACGGUACCUGAAGAAUAAGCACCGGCUAACUUCGUGCCAGCAGCCGCGGUAAUACGAAGGGUGCUAGCGUUGUUCGGAAUCACUGGGCGUAAAGCGCGCGUAGGCGGCGACACAAGUCAGAGGUGAAAUCCCAGAGCUUAACUCUGGAACUGCCUUUGAAACUGUGUUGCUAGAGUACUGGAGGGGAGUGGGGAAUUCCUAAUGUAGAGGUGAAAUUCGUAGAUAUUAGGAGGAACACCGGUGGCGAAGGCGCCACUCUGGACAGUAACUGACGCUGAGGCGCGAAAGCGUGGGGAUCAAACAG